CUGGCCCCACUGUGAUAAGCCUGGCGGCCCUGCUCGGUCCCUUCCACGACUCGCAGCGAGAGAGAGAGGUCGAGGUGCGGUGGUCUCGUGGCGGAAGGCUGAAGGAAGCGGUGAAGGAGUGAAGGUGUGAAGUGUGCAGCUUCCACUUCAUCAUCCCAUGAACAGCCCACAGGAAUCUCUACCAGCACCUGGUUAUUAAACAGUGUUGUCACGCCAGGCCCAAUGUACUCCAUUGCAAUCAGGGAGUCAAGCUUCACCAGGAAAAGAGGCAGAGCGUCACCACCUUCAAGCCCCACAAGAGGUAUUAAGUAUCGUUGGGACAAAGCAAUCAGGGAAGAGUCAAGUUGCAGUAAGAGGAGUGGGUCAAGAAUUUCAAGCGGGAAGAACACGUAAAAUUCCCUUCAAGUCAUGGCGGGACCGACAGGCAAGCUUCAACACUUGUGGAGGCACGAGAGCUGCAGGCAGUUUCACAAAGAAGAGGUUGCUCCUCACUCAAGUUGACGCAAGGACACAAGAAUUGGCAAGUGUUGUUGCUCCCAGGCCCUGCUGCAAGAGUUCUCCAGUCCACUCCAGUCUGGGAAGGAAGAAUGUAGCAAGUCCCUCUCUUCUGUAUUCAACAACCACCACCACCACCUUCAUUCAGGCUUGGGAUAAGUUUUGUACAUUCCAGCACUUCAGUAAUAAGGAAAAAAAGUGCCAUGUUUAUAUUA